rnacentral:rRNA from 1 species
GAUGAACGCUGGCGGCGUGCCUAAUACAUGCAAGUCGAGCGAACAGACGAGGAGCUUGCUCCUUUGACGUUAGCGGCGGACGGGUGAGUAACACGUGGAUAACCUACCUAUAAGACUGGGAUAACUUCGGGAAACCGGAGCUAAUACCGGAUAACAUGUUGAACCGCAUGGUUCAACAGUGAAAGACGGUCUUGCUGUCACUUAUAGAUGGAUCCGCGCCGCAUUAGCUAGUUGGUAAGGUAACGGCUUACCAAGGCAACGAUGCGUAGCCGACCUGAGAGGGUGAUCGGCCACACUGGAACUGAGACACGGUCCAGACUCCUACGGGAGGCGGCAGUAGGGAAUCUUCCGCAAUGGGCGAAAGCCUGACGGAGCAACGCCGCAUGAGUGAAGAAGGUCUUCGGAUCGUAAAACUCUGUUAUUAGGGAAGAACAAAUGUGUAAGUAACUAUGCACGUCUUGACGGUACCUAAUCAGAAAGCCACGGCUAACUACGUGCCAGCAGCCGCGGUAAUACGUAGGUGGCAAGCGUUAUCCGGAAUUAUUGGGCGUAAAGCGCGCGUAGGCGGUUUUUUAAGUCUGAUGUGAAAGCCCACGGCUCAACCGUGGAGGGUCAUUGGAAACUGGAAAACUUGAGUGCAGAAGAGGAAAGUGGAAUUCCAUGUGUAGCGGUGAAAUGCGCAGAGAUAUGGAGGAACACCAGUGGCGAAGGCGACUUUCUGGUCUGUAACUGGCGCUGAUGUGCGAAAGCGUGGGGAUCAAACAGGAUUAGAUACCCUGGUAGUCCACGCCGUAAACGAUGAGUGCUAAGUGUUAGGGGGUUUCCGCCCCUUAGUGCUGCAGCUAACGCAUUAAGCACUCCGCCUGGGGAGUACGACCGCAGGGUUGAAACUCAAAGGAAUUGACGGGGACCCGCACAAGCGGUGGAGCAUGUGGUUUAAUUCGAAGCAACGCGAAGUACCUUACCAAAUCUUGACAUCCUCUGACCCCUCUAGAGAUAGAGUUUUCCCCUUCGGGGGACAGAGUGACAGGUGGUGCAUGGUUGUCGUCAGCUCGUGUCGUGAGAUGUUGGGUUAAGUCCCGCAACGAGCGCAACCCUUAAGCUUAGUUGCCAUCAUUAAGUUGGGCACUCUAAGUUGACUGCCGGUGACAAACCGGAGGAAGGUGGGGAUGACGUCAAAUCAUCAUGCCCCUUAUGAUUUGGGCUACACACGUGCUACAAUGGACAAUACAAAGGGUAGCGAAACCGCGAGGUCAAGCAAAUCCCAUAAAGUUGUUCUCAGUUCGGAUUGUAGUCUGCAACUCGACUACAUGAAGCUGGAAUCGCUAGUAAUCGUAGAUCAGCAUGCUACGGUGAAUACGUUCCCGGGUCU